rnacentral:rRNA from 1 species
UAACACGUGGGUAACCUGCCUGUAAGACUGGGAUAACUCCGGGAAACCGGGGCUAAUACCGGAUGGUUGUCUGAACCGCAUGGUUCAGACAUAAAAGGUGGCUUCGGCUACCACUUACAGAUGGACCCGCGGCGCAUUAGCUAGUUGGUGAGGUAACGGCUCACCAAGGCGACGAUGCGUAGCCGACCUGAGAGGGUGAUCGGCCACACUGGGACUGAGACACGGCCCAGACUCCUACGGGAGGCAGCAGUAGGGAAUCUUCCGCAAUGGACGAAAGUCUGACGGAGCAACGCCGCGUGAGUGAUGAAGGUUUUCGGAUCGUAAAGCUCUGUUGUUAGGGAAGAACAAGUGCCGUUCAAAUAGGGCGGCACCUUGACGG